UGUUGGGCACUGGGAAAUUUAACUCCAAAUCCUUGAACAUCACUGGUGCCAUGCUUGUACAGCCUGCAGAACUGGUCUUUUGUCACCCAGGCCAGAGUGCAGUGGCUCCAUCUCAGCUCAUUACAGCCUUGACCUCCCAGGCUCAAGUGAUCCUCCUACCUGAACCUCCAGAAUAGCUGAGACUACAGGUGCACACCAUCAUACCUGGCUAAUUUAAUUUUUUUUUUUUUUUUUGAGAUAAGAGUUCUGCCACUUUGCUCAUGCUGGUCUCAGACUCUUUUUUUUUUUUUUUUUUCCUGAGACCGAGUCUUGCUCUGUCACCCAGGCUGGAGUACAGGGGCAUGAUCUUGGCUCACUGCAACCUCCAUCUUCUGGGUUCAAGCCAUUCUCCUGCCUCAGCAUCCCCAGUAGCUGGGGUUACAGGCACGUGCCACCAUGCCCAGCUAAUUUUAGUAUUUUAGUAGAGAUGGGGUUUCACCAUGUUGGCCAGGCUGGUCUCAAACUCCUGACCUCAAGUGAUCCACUCAUCUUGGCCUCCCAAAGUGCUAGGAUUACAGGCAUGAGCUACCACACCCAGCCAGGUCUCAAACUCAAGCUCAAGUGAUCUUCCUGCCUUGGCCUCAAAGGUACUGGGAUUACAGUUACUCGCUGGAAGUGGUGGGAAUCAUAAAAAACAACCAGGACCUUGCAUCCUAGUAUAGAAGCCACAACUGUGGAAGCUUAACAGCCAGGCAAAUGCCCACAAACCACCACCCUCUGCAUUGGAUGCAUAUGUCCCUGACCUCGCAAGUGAAAAAGAGAGGAAGACGGCGACACCUCCAGGCUUCAGACUCAUUAAUCCUGUGAAUCGUGACCCACUCUUAAAACCAAGGAAGAGGGAAGUUUGGACACAGACACACACAGACAAGAGAAUACCAUGUGACAAAGGCAGAGAUUGGAAUGAUACAGCUGCAAGCCAGGGAUGCCAAGGAUUGCAGGAUGGAGUGCAGUGUCAUGAUCAUAGCUCACUGCAGCCUCGAUCUCCUGGACUCAAAGCAUCUUCCCACCCCAGCCUCCCAGGAAUCUGGGACUACAGGUGUGAACCACUGUGCCGGCUCUGUUGAUUUAAGCCACCGAGUUUGUGGAACUUUGUUAUGGCAGUUCUAGAAAAUGAAUAUAAUAAUUAAAAUGAAAGUUUUGCUAACUGCUACCUUUACCUUUACCAUGUGCAAUUUUAUUUUAUUCUUUUUUUAAGCUUCUUAUAACUCAG
rnacentral:lncRNA from 1 species